rnacentral:lncRNA from 1 species
UUUCCUUUCCCUUCACGAUGUCUCCCGGUUUUAUUUACUUCCAAGCCACUUAAAUUGUCGAAACUGCACAUCUUCACAAUGUUUUCAGGCACCCAUUGUUGUUGUUCAUCUGACGAGAAAGGAUAACCCAUAAACUCUACUGUUUUCUUAAGAUACAAAACAGUAUCUUCAACCAAAUCUUCGUAUUUCAAGAACAUUAACUUGUCUGGACGUUCCAAACUUGCUUUCCAGUACCCCAAAACAUGGUCCCAAUAAGGCCCAUACGGACAUACACCUUCAUAAAACAAUUCGAACGCUUCAUCAAGUUGAAUGGGUUGAGUAUUUUGGGAUUUGCAGUGCCGUGCAAUGAAAUGAUACAAUGAAACAAAUGUAUCUUUGGGGUCCCUGCAAAUGUAAAUAAGUUUACAACCAGAAUCAAUUAUAGAUCUGGGUAAGAAGGAAUAAGGAAGAUGAGUGCCUAAAAGAGGAAUUUCAAGAUGUCGAUUAGUGGAAAACUGGGCAUGAUCGAACUCCAUGAAAGGCACAACAUCAUGAGGCAUCUUGGAAAGUAAAGGGGUGGUGGAAUCAUUGUAUGAAGUUCUUGUAAUAGUGGCGAAAGUGAGGGAUUUUAACCAGGCUGCGCCUGUUCUUGGAGAGCUACAAAGUAUGAUAUCAGUUGGUUGAGCUUGGAAUUGUUGUUGAGCCGACAAUGCUCCUUGUAGGAAAGGCGGGAUUAACCAAAAACCUUGAUAUUGAUAUUGAUCUUCAGGAAGACCCCAACAAUUCUCUUUAGGGAGAGUAGCUAUCAUCUCUUUGAAAGACCCAAAGUGAUAGCAUUGCUUUUUAUUAUUAUUUGGUGUCACCAAUUAAUGUGAAAAAUAAAACUUACAAAACAAAUUUUUAUAUAGAGUCAUGAAUAGGCUUGCAGUUUAUUUCUAGACAAUCUGAGAUUCUAUCCUCUUUUAACUAACAACAUAAGAUUAAAGGCUACACUAUAUUUUAUAUUUUUUACAAAAUAAUUUCUAUUUUUUUAUAUUUUGUUAACAUUUUCUCAUAUUAUAAAAUUAUAUAUCUUUGGAGAUCUUUAAUCUUGUUGCAUUUUAAUAAAUUUAUCUCUUUUUUUAAAUUUUUUUAGAUUAAAAAAAUUAAUGAGUAUAGUAAAAUAAUAAAAAAAUAUUUAAAGUUGAUUUUUAUCACUUAAUUAUAAAAUGUUAUAAAAUAGUCAGUAAAUAAUGUCUUUUUGAAUCAUCUGUUUAUGAAAAGUUACAAAUUUAUCAUUCAAUUAUUCAAAUUUGUCUUCUUCUUUCUUUCUUUUUUGUUGCUACAUACCUCAAAGUUCAAGAUAAUUGAGUGACCAAAAAAUAAUACUAAUAGCUGAGUGAUCAUUUUGUAAGUUUUUAUAAUUCAAUAGUAAAAAAAUUAUAGUUAAGUGAUUACUAAUGUAAUUUAAUGUAGAUAUAAAAAUAUGAAAAAUAGUUAUUAUAUUUUAUAUAUAACUUCUAAAUUGAAAUAAUGGAAAAUUAUUUUAAAAAAUAGAAUUGCAUGAAUAUUAACUUCGAACAUUUAAAUAGAAGAUUAUUGCAUGUACAAGUUUCAUAUGUGCAAUUUGUAUUUCUUUUUCUUUUUUUAUUAUGGUAAAAAACCUCAAAAGGUAAUUUUAUAAUAUGAGAAAAAUUUAACAAAAUAAAAAAAAUAGAAAUUGUUUUGUAAAAAGAUUUAAAACAUAAUGUAUCAUUAAGUUGUUAGUUAAAAAAGGAAGGAAUUCUACAUUAUUUAGGAACAAGUUGCAAAUUUAUUCAUGAAUCUAUAUAAACACAUAUAUUACAUCCCACAUUGCUUUAUGAAAACAAGGGAAAUGAGACUUUGGGUCUACAUAAAGAUAUGUUUUGUAAGUUUUAUUUCCACAUUAAUUGGUGGCACACAAAAAAAUAAUGUUGCCACUUUGGGUCUUUAUAUAGACUUAUUCUCAUGAAUUUUCAAAAAAUUGCAUCUAUGUCAGCGCGUUUUUGCCAGACACGAGGAAAAACGUGUCCUUGUCAGCACGUUUUUGGGUUUUCGAUCUAUGCCUAAAUUAUUUUUAGAAGCAACCCAUUUCCAUUAAUAAUUUCAAAAAUAGGCCUUUAUUGGUACUAUGCCCCAGAUAGUAUUGCCCAACUUCAUUUGAAGCCCUUGCGAAUAUAAGAGUUUAUUUUUUUUAUAUCAUAAUAUAAGGAUGAGUAAAAUUUGAUUCAAUCAAAAAAUUCGAUAAAAAAUUUAAAUUUUGAUUUAAAUAAUUCGAGUUAUUUGAGUUAUUCAGAUAACUCGAAUAAAAAAUCAAAAAUUUCAAUUUAACUCAAACAUAAAAUACACAAUUCGAGUUAUUACGUUAUUUUGAUAAAUAUUUAUCUUUUUUAAAGCUAAAAGUCAAAACUAUUAUAUUAUUCAUGUAGUUAAAUAAUAUUGUGGCUUUUUUUACCUGGGUAAUAUAAAUAAAUAAUUAAAUACCAUAAUGUUAUGCCAAUACAAUUUUUUUACUAAAGUGGUAUGUUUGCAACAGUGUUAGGGGUGGAGAGCAUGGAAAAUGUGGCAACAUGUUUUUUUUUGACUUAAUCAUCAAAACAUCAUUACAAAAUGAUAUGGGAUAAAAAAUAUAUAUUUUAAGGGUGGAAGGUGUGAGAGAUGCGGCACCAAUAUUCGAGUUAUGAAAAAACUUAGUAAAAAAAGAUCAUAUACGAUCAUUUAAUACAAAAUAAAUUUAUGGGGAGCUGUAACGUGGUAGGUGGGUAGAGGGAGAGAGAUGAGCGACACCACUGACCAUUGUCCACCUGUGGCGGAAAUGACUAAUCGUUCACGGGUUGGGGAAAGAGAAAAAAUUUUGGGAAAGGAAAUGAAUCGAGCUUGAACGAAUGAAUCUCUAUUAAUGUUUGUUUCUUUAUUUUUAAGCUUGUUUGUGUUCAGUUUGUAUUCAUUAAGAAUUUCAAAAUGCUUGUUCGUGUUCGUUUAUUUAAAAUUAUGUAUAUUUAUAUUCAUUUGUUUAAGUUAAACGAACAUGUUCUUGAAUAUAUAAUGAAUAUAUUCGCAAACAAUAUUUAUGAAUAUUAGCAAAUAAACAAACAAACAAUAAACAUAUAUAUAAUUUUUUAAAUAUAAAAUAAUCAAAUAUAAAUAUUAAUAAUUAUAUUGUAACUAAAAAAAUAAGCACACAAACCAUAAUAAUUUUAUUAAUUUAUACCAAUGGAACAAUAAACAAGCUUUGAAUGAUUCAUUAAACAAGCUUUAAAUAAUCUAUUAAACAAGUUUCAAAUGAACAUAAACGAGCUUGUUUAUGAACAUAAAUGAAGACAAGCUUUGUUCGUGUUUAGUUCAUUUAAUAAACGAGCCUCAAAAUAUUGUUCAUGUUCAUUUAUUUAGAUUAAUAAACGAACAUAAAUAAACAAAAACUGCAUUAUUCAUAAACUGUUCAUCAAACGUUCUGUUCAUUUUCAACCUUACUUCUUCUAUUCAUUAAUAUGUACUAAUUAGACUUGAUCAUGGGCUGAACCACUUGCCUAGGAGGAUUUGGGCAAAAUAUAGGUCCCAAAAAAUUGGCUUGGACAAAAAAUAAAGCCCAUUUUCCAAAAGGCCCGAGUCUCAAGUAGAAUUUUUUGGCCCGAGCCCAACCUGAAUCAGCCUAAACUUUCUGUUUUGUUGUUGUUUUGUUGUCAUUUCGCUAUUAUAUUGCUACUAUUUUAUUAUUAUUGUUUGUUUAUUGUAUAACUCUUGUUUUAUUGUUACUUUUGCUACUAUUUUAAAGUAAUUUGCUUGCUAAGUUGCAACUAUCUUAUUGUUAUUUAAGUAUAAACACUUUUUUUUUAAUAUUUUCAAUUUGUUGGGAAACUUUUUUUUUAAACAUUUUUAGUUUUAUUUUAUGUAUUAUAUUUUUAAAUUUUAUUUUAUAUAAAAAAUAAUCUAAAAAAAUUAAUACUGGUGGGUUGGAUCAAGCUUGAGUUUAGCAUUUUAAUCUGGGUUGAGCUUUUUAUCGGGUUAGCUUUUUAGCUCGAAAAUGUCUACCAAACAAUUUUUUAGGUCAUCCCUAGGUGAUUCAAUACAUGGAUUCAAUUAACUGAAUUUAUCCAUUUUUAGAACCUACAAUUCAAUUAACAUUCGUGCUUUUUGUGUAUUUAUUUAUAAUUUGGUAUGCUUAACACACUUUUACCUAUUCACAAUAUAAUAAAUUGAACUAAUUAUUUUAAAAUUAAAUAAUCUAGAAUCAAUUAUUAUCGAACAAGAUUUACAGUUUAUACACACAAUCCUAUUUACAUUCUCCUUAACCAAUCACUCAUAUUUCUACAAGUUCGAAUACAAACACAACACAUACAAAAAGUAACUAAAAAAACAUACUCUCCCCCCCCCCCCAACAAACUUUAUUCGGAGAUUACCCGAUUAGCUUGAAAAGUUCCUCUAGUUAUGUCGGGCGAUCUCCCCUUUGUUGCGAUAUGACAACUAUCUCGGAUCUCUUCAUGCAAAAUCUCAAUUUCUUCGUGAAAAAAAUAAAAAAUAAAAUUGAAAUCAAAAUAAAUCAUAUGGGGAAGACAAAUUUUUAUUAUAUGCUUAGUUUUUACUUCAAUGCCAAUUUAUUUUUAUACUAUUAUUUUAAUUUUUAAUUUUUAAAAUAUAUAAUAUUUAGUACCAAGCAAAUAAAUUUAAUGAUUUAAAAACAAUAUUUCACAAAAUUUUAAAAGACGAUAUCAUUAAAAUUACAAACUCUAAUUGAAACGACAUUUAAAGGGUAAAACGGUAAAUAGAUUAUUGAACCUUCAAUUAGAGACUUAAACCUGAACCGCUCAACUUUUGCAGUGUUCGUUGGUCUAAACGUUGAGCCAUUUCAGUGGUCAAAUAAUUCUUCCAGUCUCCAACCUUCCCCUUCCGGAAGAAAAUGUUAUUUUCUGUUUCACGAUGUCUCCCGGUUUUAAUUACUUCCAAGCCACUUAAAUUGUCGAAACUGCACAUCUUCACAAUGUUUUCAGGCACCCCUUGUUGUUGUUCCUCUGACGAGAAAGGAUAUCCCAUAAACUCUGCUGUUUUCUUAAGAUACAAAACAGUAUCUUCAACCAAAUCUUCGUAUUUCAAGAACAUUAACUUGUCC